UGAAAUGUGUUGUUUUGUGUCGGCUGUUGUUUGAAACCUUCUGAUGAGGUGUUCUCAGUCAAAUUACAUGAAAUAUUGGAUGUACUUUUCUCAUGAAGCACAAACUGCUGAUGGCAUGGCUGAAUCAAAAAGAAUAUUUUAGUGGCAUCCUGAAGUAAAUGUUCAAAAUCCUGUGACCUACAGAGCUGUGAGGUUUUGCUCAUAUGAAAAAGGCGGAAUGCACUGUUUUCCAUGGACUGAAUUGCAGUCACUACCAGGAAUCUUUUAUUUAAUUCAGCAGAGCUCAGAUCACUCAAGAGUCUUAACUGAGAAAGGAAAUAAUUGGCAAAACCCCCAAGUUUUGCUGUCC